AAACAGGAGAGGCAGUGAAAUUGAAGGAAGAAAAGCAAGCCAAGAAAGAAGAGGCAGCUCCAAAGCUUGAAGAAACCAAGGAAAAUGCAGCUGAUUUGCCAGUGAAGAGUUCAACACCAGAGGAAAAGAAAUAGGAAUAGAGGACUAUACACUUGAAUACUAACUAUUAUGCCGAUGAAUGAUUUUAAGGCCAAAUCAAAAGAUGGUUGGAAAUAUAGAUAAUAUUAUUUUAUAUAAAUAUAUAAAUCACUUAUCCACUA